AUUGAACGCUGGCGGCAUGCUUUACACAUGCAAGUCGAACGGUAACAGGCCGCAAGGUGCUGACGAGUGGCGAACGGGUGAGUAAUGCAUCGGAACGUGCCCAGUCGUGGGGGAUAACGCAGCGAAAGCUGCGCUAAUACCGCAUACGAUCUAUGGAUGAAAGCGGGGGACCGUAAGGCCUCGCGCGAUUGGAGCGGCCGAUGUCAGAUUAGGUAGUUGGUGGGGUAAAGGCUCACCAAGCCAACGAUCUGUAGCUGGUCUGAGAGGACGACCAGCCACACUGGGAAUGGGACACGGCCCAGACUCCUACGGGAGGCAGCAGUGGGGAAUUUUUGACAAUGGGCGCAAGCCUGAUCCAGCAAUACCGCGUGCAGGAAGAAGGCCUUCGGGUUGUAAACUGCUUUUGUACGGAACGAAACGGUCCUGGUUAAUACCCGGGGCUAAUGACGGUACCGUAAGAAUAAGCACCGGCUAACUACGUGCCAGCCGCCGCGGUAAGAC
rnacentral:rRNA from 1 species